CCAAGCCGUUGGUUUGGUUUUCCACAUUCAGAGUCAGAUUGGGAAUUCUUCCAGAAUGUCUCUGUGCAUUGGAGGUGCUUUGAAUCGGCGAUCUUGGGUCUGGCUGUCUUUGGUCGAUCUUACUCUGGAUGGAUUCUUAUGACGGUCUCCUAGAUGUUCCAGAGCGACCUUAACAGCAGGGAAGUCUGGCACUAAGCAAGAAGCCAU